rnacentral:rRNA from 1 species
GGUUUCUAGUUUUUUUUAAAAAUCUAAUCUGCCCAAUGAUUAAACAUUAAAUGGCCGCGGUAAUUUGACCGUGCAAAGGUAGCAUAAUAAUUAGGCUUAUAAUUAAAGUCUGGUAUGAAUGAUUGGAUGAGAAAUUAACUUUCUUUAAUUAUUUAUUAUAACUUAAUUUUUAAGUGAAAAAGCUUAAAUUUUUUUAAGGGACGAAAAGACCCUAUAGAACUUAAUUAAUUAAUUGGUUAAUUUAAUAUCUAGAUUAAUUUAAUUUAUUAACUUAUAUUUUUUUUAUUGGGGUGAUAAUAAUAUUAUUUAAACUUUUAUUAUUUAUAUCAUGAAUUAAUGUAAAUAAUGAUCCUUUACUAAUGAUUAAAAGUUAAAGUUACCUUAGGGAUAACAGCGUAAUUUAUUUGGAGAGUUCUUAUCAAUAAAUAAGAUUGCGACCUCGAUGUUGGAUUAAGAUAAAAUAAAGGAGUAGAUAUUUUUAUUUUAGGUCUGUUCGACCUUUAUAUUCUUACA